GAUGAACGCUGGCGGCGUGCCUAAUACAUGCAAGUCGAGCGAACUGAUUAGAAGCUUGCUUCUAUGACGUUAGCGGCGGACGGGUGAGUAACACGUGGGCAACCUGCCUGUAAGACUGGGAUAACUUCGGGAAACCGAAGCUAAUACCGGAUAGGAUCUUCUCCUUCAUGGGAGAUGAUUGAAAGAUGGUUUCGACUAUCACUUACAGAUGGGCCCGCGGUGCAUUAGCUAGUUGGGGAGGUAACGGCUCACCAAGGCAACGAUGCAUAGCCGACCUGAGGGGGUGAUCGGCCACACUGGGACGGGGACACGGCCCAGACUCCUACGGGAGGCAGCAGUAGGGAAUCUUCCGCAAUGGACGAAAGUCUGACGGAGCAACGCCGCGUGAGUGAUGAAGGCUUUCGGGUCGUAAAACUCUGUUGUUAGGGAAGAACAAGUACAAGAGUAACUGCUUGUACCUUGACGGUACCUAACCAGAAAGCCACGGCUAACUACGUGCCAGCAGCCGCCGUAACAC
rnacentral:rRNA from 1 species